UCCUAGCCAAGUGGCACAAGGCUUAGCAACUGCAACGGUUCUUGCCACUGCAGCAGUGAAUGGAUUGGCAUUAAUCAUGUAUUUUAUUUUAUGUGAGAGCAAAGAUUUUCUUAGGUUCAUGCAUCGGUUAGGUGCAGCUGCAGGAAGGAGUUGGAAUGUUAUAACAUAGCAUUGGCCAUUGUUUGUUUAGGCUGUGUGAAACUGAGAUUGUGAAUUAGUCAACAUGGCUCCUGGGACUGGGAGUAGCAUUUGCAAGGAAGUCCUUGAAUCCUAAGCUGCAAAUCCUGAGUUAUCCAUUGCAAGUGAUGAAUUGGAAAAAUUCUAGCUAACUAAGCCCACUAUUGCUCCUAUAGCAUUAAAGGAGGUGUAUCUUCCACUAAUGGUGUGAAUGAGCUUCUUAAGUGCCGUGUUUGUACAAACUCAAUGUACCCUCCCAUACACCAGUCUUUGGGGCCUUUGGCAACCCGCAAGGGAGUGGUAGUUUCUCUGCAUUUAAUGGUAGCAAUGCCAUGGGAAUCGAAAAACCAUCCAACCUUUUCACGCAGAUGAGAAGAUAGAAAGUCUCCGACAAGAUUUGCAGUUGAAAACCAGGUCUGCAUCAUGAGAGUAGAGAAGCGCCUGAAUGAGAUAGCUUGGAUAUAAAAUAUAUUCAUCAAGGUGGGCCCCACAGUAUGGGCCGCAUCAUCUUGGGUGAGUUCGGGGUCUCACCUAAUC